CCGCCCCCCAACUAUGUCUGGAAAUUAAUUGUUGGAUUUUUCCUCUCCUGUCUCCCUCUCUCUCUCCACUUUCUCUUCCCUCCCCCUAUGUUUCUCUUUCUCUCUCUUAAGGAGUUCCCGUUUGGGUGGUCAAACCUGUCUUAACAGCUGGAGCUCUGCAUGAGGGUGGCCACUGCAGGAGGGGGUCUCAGAGACCACAGGAGCUGAAGAGUCUUUACCGGUGAGCCCUGGAGUCCCAGGAACUUGGUUUCCUAAAAUGGAAAGGAAGUUUGGGCGAGAGUUUGGCAGUGCCGAUGGUUCCAGCGAAUGAAGAAUCCAUUUGCAGCUGGUGUUGAAAGUGGAAAACGCCAGAAGGUUUAUCUCCUGAAGAAUCUGUGAGAUCCUUUUAAAGGUGAAACUUUUCAUCUUUAGAAUUAAGCACCUUCUCAACUGAACUUGAAGGAGAGAUUAAGUGCAAUGUUUUGAGCUACGUUCAAAAGAAGAUGAGACAGAAGAAGACAGAACUGUUAAAAAUAUGUAAGUUUUAUUAUACAGCCAAAUGAAGGAUUCAGUGCUGUUGUAAUGGUAUUCUUAAAAAUCUCCAGCUUUAUGAAAUCCCUUAAUUAUGGAAUUUUCUUUCAUUAUAUUGAACUACUUGCUGAUUUCCUCAUGAAUAUCUGAUCUGAAACUUAAUUUACAAAAAUACUGAAAAUGAAUUUAAAAUUAAAUGGGAACAUUUGUAUACUAAUAUGACACAAUAUUGUUGAUUCACAUUUUU
rnacentral:lncRNA from 1 species